UACAGAGGUGCCGAGCGUUAGGCGGAAUCACUGGGCUUAAAGCGUGUGUAGGCGGACUUCUAAGUACCUUGUGAAAUCCCACGGCUUACCCGUGGAACUGCUGGGUAUACUGGUUGUCUUGAGCCACCUAGGGGCGAGUGGAACAAAUGGUGGAGCGGUGAAAUGCGUAGAUAUCAUUUGGAACGCCAAUGGUGAAAACAACUCGCUGGGGGUGUGCUGACGCUGAGGCACGAAAGCCAGGGGAGCGAACGGG
rnacentral:rRNA from 1 species